CCAUGCGGUUUAAGUAAAGGGGAUGCUGGAGACAGAAGAGGGUGAGGGAGUUGUGGGCUGUUCGAUUAGACGGCUAUGGAAAAAAGAGGAGCCCAGGCCAGCGCGGGCGCGGAUGAGGAGAUCAAGGGCAGGAAAUGCAACCUAAGAAUCAUCCACAGAAUAUGGAGGAACUGAGGAAAAAAGUGAAAAAGUUCAUAAUGGGGUGGGGGACGUUGGUAAGGAGUUGCCAUGGGAAACUGACAGGUAUCCAUAUGUGCAGCCUGAGCCCACCCCCCCCCUCAUCUCUCCCGUUGCAACGAAGCAUGCAUAGGGUCACACCGUGGCCCAUGCAGAGAAUGGGUCUUAUUUGACUGGAGGAGGAGAGAGAAAAUCGUCUAAGAAGGAUGCGCUUUUCCUAGAAGGGGAAAACCCAAAAGGGCCACAUUCUAGAGGCAGGCUUUUUCUUGGGAAAAUAGGGAUUACAUUGCCUUUUAAAAAGCAGCAAUAAAAAGAGCAUUUAUCUAAAUUACAAGCUGGACAGAAAAUACCUCUUGCUGGUUGCUAAGUAGUUGUUGGGAGACUAUAGCUUGGGUUUCCAGCCGGUGUUACCUCAGGACAAUAAGCCUGGUUUAUAGAAAACUUGCUCAACAUGUCUCCAAGGUAUUCUAAGGUCAUACCCCUCCGCCUUUCUCUAAUGCUGUAGGAAACCCUGCUGUAUCAUAUUGUGUGUGUGUGUUUAGCUUGUAUAUAGCAUCAGGGAGGCCAGUGGAAAGGGCAUAUUUUAAUGAAUGUAUUUAUGUAUAAGUUUCCAGGGCUUUUUGCUACCAGUUUUAACACGCUCCAUAGUAGCAAUCUCAAAUUAAAAAAUUAAAUAAAAUUGGUAUAGAUAGCAAAAACACCUUUAAUAAAUAUGGCACAGGUCAGUAAAGGAUCAUUUUAGUCUCUUCCUGCUAUAAACUAAGUUUGGCACUUACUUGGCCUCUUGCUUUCUUUAUCAUGGUCUAAUUCAUCUUGCGGUUCCAUUUAUAGGGCUUGUUCCAAACAAAUCAAUCCUAUGCAUGUCUACUCAGAACUUCCUUAGGGAAGGAAUAUCACAGCUUCAGCAUCACCACAAAGGCGGCCCUGUCUCACAUUACCACCAACCACACUUUAAACAGUGGGUACACACUUAGCCAGGUCUCCAAUUAAGAUUUCACCAUGUGAUUAUUUUCAUAGGGUAGUAGGUGUUCUUUAAGGUAUCCUGUGUCUCUAGACCAUUUAGGACUUAAAGCAUGGGUAGGCAAACCAAGGCCCGGGGGCCGGAUCUGGCCCAAUUGCCUUCUAAAUCCAGCCCGCGGAUGGUCCGGGAAUCAACGUGCUUUUACAUGAGUAGAAUGUGUCCUUUUUUUAAUGAAAUCUGCCAAAAUCUAUACGAACAGAUUUUUCUGGCAACUGAAUCCCCGUUUCUGACAACCAAACCUCAGCCAUGUUCGGGGAAUUCUGGACAUAUGGCAACCCUUGUUAUAUGCUUUAUUUGCCCUACAGCAGUCAAUCCCCCAGCAGACACAUUUUUUACCUGUUGUAGUUUCCAGCCUAUUCAGAAGCAACCCCAAAGAGAGAGCACAUUCCAAUACUCCGGUCUAGAAAUGAUUAAGGUAUUAAUUGCUACAGAAAACUGUUAAGGAGUUUUCUAAGCUGUAAGUUAUAUGAGGGAAUACCUUUGAAGACUGCUCUCAAACUGCAAUUAGCUUCAGGGGCUAGUCAUUGAGAAGACAUUUCAGUGAUGCUUAAAGAGCUACACUAACUUGCAGGCCAAUUUCAGACACAAUUCCGUGCACUGAGGCUUGCUUUAAAAGCUGUCCGCAACCUUGGAAAGGGAUACCUACUUCCAAAUUAAAUACCUUCAGAAGUCCCCCUCCAAGUAUCCCAUCAUCAGACAGCGACUGGGCCUUCUUGUAUGGGACACCCCAGUUUCCCCUGGAGAAUGUAGGCCUGGCACCUUCAUUUGUCUUCUUAAAAAGGCUUCUUAACUUUAUUUCCCCCAGGCCUUCUAAUUUUACGAGAUUUUUAUGCUACCAUUUUAACAUUUGAUUGCUUUUGGAUUAAGCUGGCGACAUUGUCAAAUGCAUCUUACUGUUGUCUUUAAUAAAAAGCUGUGAUUUAAUUGAAAUCUAUUUGAGCUAGGUCAGUGAAAUAGUAAAGUGCUUUUAACAUGUAAGAAGGUUACAUUUGUCCACGAUGCAUGGGGAAAAAAUUGGUGUAUGUAUACCCUCUUGAUCCCAGCUUUAUACUUUAGAAGAGGCAGGCACUAGCACUCUGUUUCAGGAAUGAUCUGAUCAGUAUUCCACACUCCUCUCUUCCUAAUAAGCAGACUUGGAAAAACACGUUUCUCUUGUGAUCAGUCAUCCAUAUGAAGACUUUAAUAAAACAAACAAUUUAAGUAAAAAGCCUGAUACAUUCAUGCAGCACUCUCCAUAAGCCAAUUAGAGAGACUAAUUGUGGUAGGCCUCAAAAGUGAGUUAGCAAGUUUAUUCUAAUGAACAAAGUAUAGAGGAGGAAUAGAACAUGUACUUGCUGCUGGGAAGGCGAUCCAUUCAUGUGGUCUUGAAAGGAUGCAAAUGGUCUUGUCUGAAAGAUAACUUAUUUGUUCCUCUAUUGGACAGCAAAAGGCAUUGCGCAAGUUGGCUGGCAUCCCAUUUGAAAGGUGCUGAGUCAAUUGACUUCCUGGUUUAAAGGUGAAAGAUCACAAGCUCAAGAGAUUCAGUUUCAGUUUCAAGAUUGAUAAAAUCUUUUCUCUUGUGCUAUUGACCCAAUUGCACAAUUCCACUAAAACCUAUCCACCAGAUGUUUUUUAAAGAUGCAUGGCCAAGAAAUGUAAACGAGCAACGCUACAGCCUUGGGAUACAUAGAUGUCAUCUUGACCAAGAUACAGUACAUUUCUGCAGUGCUGUAGAUUAUGUGAACUACAUGAGUGGGGCUCUGAAGUAUCUUAAGCAGAAUCUGCUGACUGGUAAAUGGAACUAACAUCAUUAUCCUGAGUGCAUUAUUUGACCCAUGGAUUUCAGUGCUCAGCAUGGCAAUCUUUCUCAGUUCACAUUUGUGAGUAUAGGAUUCCUAAAUGUAAGGAUAGCCAUAAACCGCAUCAUAUGUUUAAUUUCAGCAAGCACAACUGAUUACUCUAAAAAGCCCUAAAGUUUUUUCUUUGGUCUACAAUGUUUUCAGAGCUGUUGUGUAGGGAGUGCUCCAUGCCUCUGCCCUCCUGCCCAUCCCUCGCUCGCUCGAAUAUCAGUUUUGUUCCUGGGGAAGGUUCUGAGAGUCCUUCUGAUUUCCUUUGCCCUCUCCCUUCCUGCUCUACAAGCAGACAGCAACAUUAUUUGGGGGGAGAAACUAGAUAAAAAGAAACCACCACCACCAAUUUCCAAGACCAACAAGGAGAGUGCCAAGAGGUCCACAGCAGCUCUGGGCACUAGGAGCUACCAACCCAUUGAUCCCCAGCUCAACUUAAUGGUUACUGGAGGCAGGUAGGGUAUGUGUGCACACGCAAGGGUGCAUUCCCCUCCCCCGGAAGGUGGGUGGGCUGGAUGGGAUCUGCCAAGAGAGCCACUUCCCAGCCUCUCUCAACAGCACCCUCCCCACUUUAUGCAAUUUCACAUAUAUGUACAGAGUCUGGGAACGUAACCCCCGCUUAAGUGCGGUAGACGGGGAUGCCUGUAUUACAACAUUCAGACUGAUAACAUUUGGCCUCUAUGCUUUUGCUAUAGUGCAAACCAACCUUAGCAUUGUAUUGCCGCUUGCAUUUAUUAAAAAACUGCUUUAAAAUGCUUUUUGCUUUUAAAUGUUACUAUGUAUUAAAACUUCACUUCACAAAC